rnacentral:rRNA from 1 species
AUACGGAGGGUGCAAGCGUUGUUCGGAAUUACUGGGCGUAAAGCGCGCGUAGGCGGUCUGUUAUGUCAGAUGUGAAAGUCCUCGGCUCAACCGGGGAAGUGCAUUUGAAACUGGCAGACUUGAGUACUGGAGGGGGUGGUGGAAUUCCCGGUGUAGAGGUGAAAUUCGUAGAUAUCCGGAGGAAUACCGGUGGCGAAGGCGACCACCUGGCCAGAUACUGACGCUGAGGUGCGAAAGCGUGGGGAGCAAACAGGAUUAGAAACCCCGGUAGUCC